GGCCUCAAGUGAUCCUCCCAGCUUGUCCUUCCAAAGUGUUGGGAUUAUAGGUGUGAGCCACUGUGCCUGGCCAUGUCUGAAUGUUGAAUGUUGACAGCUUCAGUGAAUUGACCCCUCUUUCACCUAUGGGACUUAUGAAGAGAGAAUCUUUCUGGCAUUGCAUAAUCCUUCCCAAGAGUACUUUAGCUGUGGUAACCCUUCUUGUUAUAAAACAUGCCAGAUCCUGGCACCCAAGUGACAACCUGCAUUGAAAAGGCGGAACUUGGCUCUCCUGCCCUGCCAGCUGUAAGAGCUUGAAAGCAAAGCUAUGGGGGGAAUGUCUUUCAUUUCCCCCUGGAAGCUGGGAGGACGUUCAGCUUAGCAUUGCCAACUGUGUAAUGUGGACUUGCCUCUAAAAGAAGCCUUUUUCCUUGGAUGUCUUUCAGGCCGCAGUAUUCCCUUUGGCACCCCCACCCACCUGGAACAAAGCCUGAUGUAAAGUCUGGGUGCGACUCAGACCGGCCUGGGAAAGAAUUUAUUUAAUAAAUGGUGGAAAGUGGCUUC
rnacentral:lncRNA from 1 species